rnacentral:rRNA from 1 species
GUGGGGAAUAUUGGGCAAUGGGCGAAAGCCUGACCCAGCAACGCCGCGUGAAGGAAGAAGGUCUUCGGAUCGUAAACUUCUAUCCUUGGUGAAGAUAAUGACGGUAGCCAAGAAGGAAGCCCCGGCUAACUACGUGCCAGCAGCCGCGGUAAUACGUAGGGGGCAAGCGUUGUCCGGAAUGAUUGGGCGUAAAGGGCGCGUAGGCGGCCUGGUAAGUCUGGAGUGAAAGUCCUGCUUUUAAGGUGGGAAUUGCUUUGGAUACUGUCGGGCUUGAGUGCAGGAGAGGUAAGUGGAAUUCCCGGUGUAGCGGUGAAAUGCGUAGAGAUCGGGAGGAACACCAGUGGCGAAGGCGACUUACUGGACUGUAACUGACGCUGAGGCGCGAAAGUGUGGGGAGCAAACAGGAUUAGAAACCCUGGUAGUCC